AACGUAGGUGGCAAGCGUUAUCCGGAUUUACUGGGCGUAAAGCGUGUGCAGGCGGGGGUACAAGUGGUGUAUGAAAUUUCCCAGCUUAACUGGGAAGGGUUAUGCCAGACUGUACUUCUGGAGUGCGAGAGAGGGGCGUGGAAUUCCGGGUGUAGCGGUGAAAUGCGUAGAUAUCUGGAGGAAUACCGGUGGCGAAGGCGGCAUCCUGGACCGGCAUUGACGCUGAGGAGCGAAAGCUAGGGGAGCAAACGGGG
rnacentral:rRNA from 1 species